rnacentral:lncRNA from 1 species
CAUCCAUCCUCCCCUCUGAGCACGAUGGCCCAGAGACCCUCUGGGCCUGACCUCCUACUGUCCUCCCUGCGGCCCACACCGUGGUCUAAUGAAAAGGACGCAUGUCUGCAGGUCAGGCCACUGAAGCUGGUCCCAGUGGGACCACUUGUAUGGCCUUGGACAAGGGGUGUUCCCCACUCUGGCCUUGCUUCCUUUUUUUUUUUGGUCUUUUUAGGGCCGCAGCCACAGCAUAUGGAAGUUUCCCAGGCUAGGGAUUGAAUUGGAGCUGUAGCUGCCUGCCUACACCACAGCCACAGCAACGUGGGAUCCAAGCCGAGUCUGUGACCUACACUACAGCUCACAACAACGCCGGAUCCUUAACCUACUGAGUGAAGCCAGGGAUGGAACCCCCGCAUCCUCAUGGGUACUAGCGAGGUUGGUAACCUGCUGAGCCACAGCGGGAUUCUGACACUACAUUUUUCUACCUGACCUCCCCCUCCCCUUACUGUUCAUGGAGCACAUUCUUUUUUGUUUUGUUUUGUUUUGUUUCGUUUUGUUCAAUGGCCACACCUGCAGCAUAUGGAAUUUCUUCCUGGGCCAGGGAUUGAAUCAGAGCCAUAACCGUGACCUAUCCCAUAGCUGCAGCAACACUGGAUCCUUAACCUACUGCACACAGUGGGAACUCCCAUUUGAGAGGUAGGUGUUUUUUAUGAAAACGAAUGAUGAAUCAAAAAGACUGAAAACCUGAAAAGUCAUGGAUCAGGCUACAGAUGCGGGUCCUGUCUGGUGGCUCUACGCCUCCUACUUUCUUCAGGAGCCCCCAACAGCUAAGGCGAGCUGGGCAGGGCACGCUGCCCACUGGACAGCAAAGCAAGACCGGGGGAUGCAGGGCCUUGAUUCCCCUCUGAAGGGAUGAGCAUGCUUUCCCGCUGUGCUUUUGUCUCGUAUAUAUGCCUCUUAGAAACAAAAGUUGUGCUUGAUCACUGAAAAAAAUCCACACUACAGAAAUGUGUAAGAUAAAUGUGACAGUUACCCCCUCAUCUAAGUGCUUCUUGGUCUAUUUCUCAUCCUCAAAAGUAGCAUUUACUAUGGUGGCGUGUGUAUGUGUGUGUGCGUACACUCCUCUGCACCAGCGUGCGUGAGCUGUAUAGAUACAAAGAAAGAUAUAGCAACGUAAAAAUCCCCCGCCAGACUGGGGUCAUGUCACAUGAACAUUUUCCUACAUUUACUGUUAAAACUCAAAGACAGAGAAAGACAAAUAUAUGAGAUCAGAUCACUAAUACAUGGAAUUUAACAAAACAAUGUACAAUAAGACUUACAAAACAGAAACAGACUCCAAGUUUUGCAACCAAAUUUAUAGUUACCAAAGGGGAAAUAUGGGGCAGGAAGGGUACAUUAAGGGAUUGGGAUUAACACAUCACUGUACAUAAAACAGGCAGGACCUACUGUAUAGCACAGUGCAAUCUACUCAAUACUGUGUGAUAACCUAUAUGGGAAAAGAAUCUGAAAGAGAAUGGAGAUGUGUAUAUGCAUAACGGAUGUACUUUGCUGUACACCUGAAACUAACACACCUUUCUAAGUCAACUACACGCCAAUACAGUGUAUUAAGAAAAAACUCAACAACAUAUUGUGGAUAAUUCUCUUUUUCACUACACAGCGGUAGCUCACCCACAAACUUCUAAUGGAUACAUAAUGUUCCAUAGGCCAUGGAAUCAAAAUAUCAAUCUUAAAAGUGAAAUCACAAAUGGAAACUUUGGAAAAAGCCAGAUGCAGUUUUUGAGUGGCUGUGGUGACGUAUUAGGAAGAUGGUUAUUCUUGGGGUCAGUUCUACCCAAGUUAAUUCACCGGAAACAAGCACAAAGUAACACAAUUGAACAAUUGGCCUUGUGAUGGACAUUUAAUUUGUCUCCCAUUUUCCAUUAUAACAGACAAUCCUGCAUGCGUAUUCCUGAACAUGGCACAUAAAAUUUAGACAGGUUGGCUGAGGUUGUCCAGCUUCAAACCAAUAUCUGUGACUUCUGAAUUUUUAAACAGGGUCUUAAGACUCAGGGUUAAGACAAGAGUCUUGAAAGUCAAGGCUUUUCAUUUGCCACAGCCUGACUGCUUUUGGUGAUAGAAAAGAGUAUUUUUAGUUUUUCAAGUUAAGCCAAAGGAAUCAAGGCGUAAAGCCUCAUCCUCGACAAAGGAUAGAGGGACAACAGAGGAGGAGCUGGCCUGGACCACCUUCACUCAAGGCGUAAAGCCUCAUCCUCGACAAAGGAUAGAGGGACAACAGAGGAGGAGCUGGCCUGGACCACCCUUCACUGAUUGGAUGUUUUCCUGGACCAGGGGACAAAAUGCUAAAGAGAAGAGGGACUUAAUCAGACUCUUUCCCUGCAAAGGGGCCCUGCCCUUUCUGUCCUGGGCUGAGCCUGGGGUUUGGGUGC